rnacentral:rRNA from 1 species
UACAGAGGGGGCAAGCGUUAUUCGGAAUUAUUGGGCGUAAAGCGCGUGUAGGCGGCUUUGCAAGUCGGGUGUGAAAGCCCUCGGCUCAACCGAGGAAGUGCGCCCGAAACUGCAGAGCUUGAGUACCGGAGAGGAUGGCGGAAUUCCCCAAGUAGAGGUGAAAUUCGUAGAUAUGGGGAGGAACACCGGUGGCGAAGGCGGCCAUCUGGACGGAUACUGACGCUGAGACGCGAAAGCGUGGGUAGCAAACAGG